rnacentral:rRNA from 1 species
CUACAGGCUUAACACAUGCAAGUCGAGGGGCAGCAUUUUAGUUUGCUUGCAAACUGAAGAUGGCGACCGGCGCACGGGUGAGUAACACGUAUCCAACCUGCCGAUAACUCCGGAAUAGCCUUUCGAAAGAAAGAUUAAUACCGGAUAGCAUACGAAUAUCGCAUGAUAUUUUUAUUAAAGAAUUUCGGUUAUCGAUGGGGAUGCGUUCCAUUAGUUUGUUGGCGGGGUAACGGCCCACCAAGACAACGAUGGAUAGGGGUUCUGAGAGGAAGGUCCCCCACAUUGGAACUGAGACACGGUCCAAACUCCUACGGGAGGCAGCAGUGAGGAAUAUUGGUCAAUGGGCGAGAGCCUGAACCAGCCAAGUAGCGUGAAGGAUGAAGGCUCUAUGGGUCGUAAACUUCUUUUAUAUGGGAAUAAAGUUUUCCACGUGUGGAAUUUUGUAUGUACCAUAUGAAUAAGGAUCGGCUAACUCCGUGCCAGCAGCCGCGGUAAUACGGAGGAUCCGAGCGUUAUCCGGAUUUAUUGGGUUUAAAGGGAGCGUAGGUGGAUUGUUAAGUCAGUUGUGAAAGUUUGCGGCUCAACCGUAAAAUUGCAGUUGAAACUGGCAGUCUUGAGUACAGUAGAGGUGGGCGGAAUUCGUGGUGUAGCGGUGAAAUGCUUAGAUAUCACGAAGAACUCCGAUUGCGAAGGCAGCUCACUAGACUGUCACUGACACUGAUGCUCGAAAGUGUGGGUAUCAAACAGGAUUAGAUACCCUGGUAGUCCACACAGUAAACGAUGAAUACUCGCUGUUUGCGAUAUACAGUAAGCGGCCAAGCGAAAGCAUUAAGUAUUCCACCUGGGGAGUACGCCGGCAACGGUGAAACUCAAAGGAAUUGACGGGGGCCCGCACAAGCGGAGGAACAUGUGGUUUAAUUCGAUGAUACGCGAGGAACCUUACCCGGGCUUAAAUUGCAACAGAAUAUAUUGGAAACAGUAUAGCCGUAAGGCUGUUGUGAAGGUGCUGCAUGGUUGUCGUCAGCUCGUGCCGUGAGGUGUCGGCUUAAGUGCCAUAACGAGCGCAACCCUUAUCUUUAGUUACUAACAGGUGAUGCUGAGGACUCUAGAGAGACUGCCGUCGUAAGAUGUGAGGAAGGUGGGGAUGACGUCAAAUCAGCACGGCCCUUACGUCCGGGGCUACACACGUGUUACAAUGGGGGGUACAGAAGGCGGCUACCUGGUGACAGGAUGCUAAUCUCAAAAACCUCUCUCAGUUCGGAUCGAAGUCUGCAACCCGACUUCGUGAAGCUGGAUUCGCUAGUAAUCGCGCAUCAGCCAUGGCGCGGUGAAUACGUUCCCGGGCCUUGUACACACCGCCCGUCAAGCCAUGAAAGCCGGGGGUACCUGAAGUACGUAACCGCAAGGAGCGUCCUAGGGUAAAACUGGUAAUUGGGGCUA